rnacentral:rRNA from 1 species
AAUAUUGGACAAGGUGGGCAACCCUGAUCCAGCCAUGCCGCGUGUGUGAAGAAGGUCUUCGGAUCGUAAAGCACUUUAAGUUGGGGGGAAGGUCGUUAGGUUAAUACCCUGAAGUUUUGAUGUUACCAACAGAAUAAGCACCCGCCAACGCUGUUCCAGCAGCCGCGGUAAUACAGAGGGUGCAAGCGUAACUCGGAAUUAUUGGGCGUAAAGCGCGCGUAGGUGGUUCAGUAAGAUGGGUGUGAAAUCCCCGGGCUUAACCUGGGAACUGCUUUCAUAACUGCUGAGCUAGAGUACGGUAGAGGGUAGUGGAAUUUCCUGUGUAGCGGUGAAAUGCGUAGAUAUAGGAAGGAACACCAGUGGCGAAGGCGACUACCUGGACUGAUACUGACACUGAGGUGCGAAAGCGUGGGGAGCAAAC